AGUAAAGGAAGAUAGCCUUUGCAUUUACACAGACGAAACAUGUCUCUGAACCUCAUCCACCUUAAACCCCUUUCUUCUACUUCUGCUUCUUCUUCCAUCUUUCACUCUUCACUCUUUAAUACUCUUUCAAAACCUUUCUUGCUCUUAGAAUCCAAAACCUCUUUCUCCUCUCUCUCUCUACGUGCAGCUCAAUUUGAUGCCCUUCACUCUUCAACAACCCCCAUUUCUCUCCCACAUCUCCAACAAUCACAACACCAAGAAGACACAGAAGAAGAAGAAGAAGAAGGUCAUGACCCAGAUGAUCCAAACUACAAUUUCUCCGACAGUGACGCAUGGAUUUCCUCCCAAGACCCUCAAGACGAAGAAAAAUUGUACAUUGAGGAGAACCCUUUUACCUCGUGGCACAUCGAUGAAGAGCCUGAAAUGAGUUUGGAGAUUGAAGAAAUGGGGUCUUGUCAAAGUAGGGAAUUGCGUGAGGCUGAGGGCGUUGUGGGGGAAAUUGUUCAGCUUGCGAGGAACUUGCCUCAAAAUCUGACUCUGGAGGAGGCUUUGGGUGAGUAUGAAGGAAGGGUCAAUGAGAAAGAUUGUUGGGAGGUUCUAGAAAUACUUGGGGAGGAGCGCCUCUUGCUGUGUUGUGUGUGUUUCUUUCGGUGGAUGAGGUUGCAGGAACCAUCACUUGUUACACCUAGGGCCUGUAUUGUGUUGUUUCCAUUGUUGGGAAAAGGAGGGAUGGGUGAUGAGGUGAUGGGUUUGUUCGAAAGCUUGCCGUCUAGCAUGGAGUUCAGAGAUGUUCAUGUUUAUAAUGCCACAAUUUUAGGACUUCUGUAUGGUGGCAGGUAUGAAGAUGCUUGGAAGGUGUAUGAGUCAAUGGAAACGGAGAAUAUUCAUCCAGAUCAUGUGACAUGCUCUAUUAUGGUUACCGUUAUGAGAAAACUUGGCCAUAGUGCAAAAGAUGCAUGGCAAUUUUUUGAAAAAAUGAACAGAAAAGGGGUCAGAUGGAGUGAAGAAGUCCUGAGUGCAUUAAUAAAGUCUUUUUGUGAUGAGGGUCUGAUGCGGGUGGCUCUGGUCAUUCAAUCCGAAAUGGAGAAAAAAGGGGUUUCUUCAAACGCAAUUGUGUACAACAUUCUGAUGGAUUCAUACUGUAAAUACAACCAUGUAGAAGCAGCUGAAGGCCUUUUUGUGGAGAUGAGAGCCAAAGGGAUUAAGCCUACUGUAGUUACCUUCAACAUUCUAAUGCAUGCAUACAGCAGAAGAAUGCAACCCAAGAUUGUAGAAAAGCUAAUGGCGGAAAUGCAAGAUGUUGGCUUGAAGCCAAAUGCCGAAUCAUAUACUUGUCUAAUUAGUGCAUAUGGUAAGCAAAAAACCCCGAGUGACCUGGCGGCUGCAGAUGCAUUCUUGAGGAUGAAGGAAGUUGGUAUAAAAUCCACCUCACAUUCUUAUACAGCACUAAUCCAUGCAUAUUCAGUUAAUGGCUUGCACGAGAAAGCUUACAUAGCAUUUGAAAACAUGAAAAUGGAAGGUAUUAAACCUUGCGUAGAAACCUACAAUACUUUACUAGAUGUGCUUAGGCGCGCAGGUGAAGCUCAAACACUUAUGGAAAUAUGGAAGUUGAUGAAAAAUGACAAAAUUGAACCGACACGGACAACAUUCAACGUUCUUGUUGAUGGUUUUGCUAAACAAGGUCUCUACAUGGAGGCAAGAGGCAUAAUAUCUGAGUUUGGAAAGCUUGGAAUGCAGCCAACAGUGAUGACAUACAAUAUGCUGAUGAAUGCUUAUGCAAAGGGAGGGCAACACUCAAAACUGCCACAGAUAUUCAAAGAGAUGGCAGUUCUUAAUUUACAACCAGAUUCUGUGACUUACUCAACUAUGAUAUUUGGCUUUGUCAGAGUUCAUGAUUUUAAGCGGGCAUUUCUUUAUCACAAGCAGAUGGUCAAGAAUAAACAGACUAUGGAUGUCAGUUUUUAUCAGACUCUUCUGGACAUUCUGGAGGCCAGAGCUGCUCGGAAAAACAAGGAUUGGAGAGCCUUGCAUGCACAAAUUAAAGGUAAGACAGGUGUGAAAGUGAUCAGGCAGAAAGAUGAGUUUUGGAAGUACUACAAGAGAAGACGUGUAAGAAAAAAUAAUUCUGAUGUAAGUGUACAUUAAGUUAAGAUACAAUGCUCUCUAAGAAUUGUAGGUUCAAUUUUGGCACACUUUUUUUUCUCUAAGAAUCAAUAUUAUUAGGAGUUUCUUGAUAUUAGCUGUGAAGAGUAUACAUCACAUUAUGCUGCCUCUUCAAUCAGCAAUAUCUUUCACACAUUGUAUUUGUACGUUGACAUUGCGUGGUUGAAAACUAGGCGUGUGCUACUUUAAGGAGUUCAUCUUCGGUAUUAUCUAGAAAAGAUGUGGUUAAAAGUUAAGAGUUCCCUCUCUGGUGUUAAUGAAGUGGUAGAACCGUGUGUGCUAGCCUUAUUAAUCCUUGAUGAGAUUGGAUAUUUAGGCCACUGUGAAUAUCUGUUUUAUGCUCAUCUGCCUGAGGAGGCUGGAAAUCUGAGCAAUUGUGUGAUGUCAAAACGUGAUGUUUGUGAAGAUGGCUGAGCUUUGAACAUCACUGGAAUAGUUUACUGCUUUCUGAUAACGAUCAAUGGCAGCUGCUGUAAGGAGGGAAAUCAGUGGGUUCAGGCAAUUUCAAGGACAAAAUUCUGAAUGAAUAUUGGCUGCAGCAGAGCACUAUGGGACAACAACUUAAUACCGAGAUGCAAAAUCUGGCCAGAUUUGAGAAGCAUGUGAAUUCCAGUUUGGUCUGCUGCAUUAGUUCAGUCUUAACAGCAAAAGUUAACCAAGGCCGCAUAUUCUCUCUGGUUCAAUCUUUCUGACCCUGUUUCCUCUAAUCUUUUCUGUUGAUGAUGAUUAGUCAAUAUUCAUAAUUCUUAUAGCAUUGUCUUGUUUCAGUAUAACAAUUCUGUGUAUUUAGUAAAGUUCUGCAUUUUAGUUUUACUCCUAUAAAUACUUAGUGUUAGCUUUGUUAGAGCAAGUUGAAUUUGCAUAUUUGAAUGUUCUGGUUGGUUUUAGCAUUAUAUGUCUGUUUCAGUGUUAUAGUCUUAUUUAAGUUGUUAACUAGGAUAGUAUUUUCUGUAUUUCUUGGGUUUACAUAGUGAAAUAUAAAGUUCUGCAUAAUUUUCAGUUGUUGCUUGUAAUUCUAGUAUUCUUUUGCUGUUUUAAACUUGUAAAAGUUAUGUUAGUUGGUUUUUAAUUGCUGAUUUGUGAUUAGCUUGUUCUUAUGCCUAAAGGGGUUGGCUAAUUUGGUUGUUGAAGCUCAGAAGAUAGAGGGUUCAAAUAUUGUGGUUGAUAGGUCUAUAGGGUAUGGUAUUGUUAAUGCGUGUGUUGGUAUUGGACUAUCUGAUAAAGCACAUAAUAUUCUUGAUGAGAUGAAUGUUCUGGGGGCCUAUGUGGGUCUUGGGGUCUAUAUAUCUAUCUUGAAGGCUUACUGUAAAGAAAAUAGAACUGCUGAGGCUACUCAAUUGGUGAUGGAGAUUAGUAAUUCAGGUCUUCUGUUGAAUGUGGGAACCUAUGAUGCUUUGAUAGAAGCAUCCAUGUGCAUCCAAGAUUUUCAGUCAGCGUUUUCACUGUUUAAGGACAUGAGAGAGGCAAGGAUUCCUGACUUGAAAUGGAGUUACUUAACUAUAAUGACAGGUUUGAUGGAAAAACAUCGGCCUGAGUUGAUGGCAGCUUUCUUGGAUGAGGUGGUUGAUAGGAUUGAUGUAGGUACUCAUGAUUGGAAUUCUAUCAUCUAUGCUUUCUGUAAAGCUGGGAGACUUGAAGAUGCAAGAAUGACUUUUAGAAGGAUGAUGUUCCUGCAAGGAUCAGACAUACUUGUCUAUGAUUAAUUGACAUGUCUUGGUUGAGAAAUAUUUUCUCGUGCUGAUGUUGGUGAGUUUUUUGAGGGACUAAAAGUCAAUAUUUUCCUAUUUGUAACCCAUGUGAAAAAUUGCAUUUUAUUGCUGCUGUUGAUUUCUAUUGAGAAAAAGGGAUAGAAUUUUUC